UGAAACCUGGUUAACUUCACAUAAAAUC
rnacentral:sRNA from 1 species